CCCAGGGCUCCCCAUCGGCCGGGCUUGUCCUGACGGUUAUGAAGCCUGCUGCAGUCGGCAAGCAGUGAUCCUGCACCUUUGCUGUGGUCGGGAGGGCUAUUUUUCCUGGUAUUGAGAGAGUGAAAGAGCAGGAGAGAGAGAGGGAGGGAAGGCGGGGGAAAGAGGGAGAGGGAGAGAGAAGGAGGGGGAAAGGAAGGAGAGACAGACCAAGGAGGAGGGAGAGAGACAAGAGGGAGGCUGUGCAGGGGGCUGGGGCUCGGGCCGGAGGCUCUGGCCCCUGGGACUCGGGGCGGCAUCCCGCCCACGGCACAGGCUGCCGUGUGCCUCACGGACUGCCCGCAAUUCCACGUGCAGUGCGUCAUGGCGUUUCCACCCUGAACUAACGCCCUAAUGGCACAAGUACAGGAAAAGCGAAGCAUGGCGCUCGGGUGCAGGUAGAGACCACAAAGGGGCCGUGUCUGUUCUCUGCGCUGUUGAGGACUCACAAAGCCCGUCUCUGGUGCAGGAAGACGAACUGCAAGCCAGGCACGUGCCCUUCCCACCGGCUGUGUCGUCUUGGAAGGUCCCUCGAUCCCUCCCAGACUCUGCUCUGUCAUCUAUAAAACAUAACAACCCGCGCCUGCCACACUAGACAUUGUCAGCAGCCACUGAGCUCAUGUGGGUGAACACGGCCUCAGAACAGUCACCUCCAGUCCACGCCGCUCCCAUCUCCCCCUCUAAGGAGCACUUUGGACCUACUGCCUCUUGGCCCAGUUCACACCGUCUCCAUGCCCCCGAGGCCCCGGCCCCACGCCCCGACCAGGCUGUGCCUCGCUCCCCGGCUGCCAGCAGGCCCUGGGCCUGGCUGGGGGCAGACCCCCGAGCCGCACCUGCAGACCUCAGGGGUAAGAGGCGGGGGGGGGGAAUGUGAACGAUCUCCUCGAGAGUCUGCCUCCCGGGCAGCUGUGCACUGAGAUAAACCCACCACUUUGGGGCCGGCCGCCCCCACGGCCUGUGCUCCCAGCCACGGCCCCUGUCGGGGGAGAGAGAGACCCCCAGGGCGCUCACCACGGCCAACACGCAAACACACGCACGCACAGCACCUUCACGCUCAUGGCCAC
rnacentral:lncRNA from 1 species